UCGUUAUCUACCGUUUUACCAAAAAUAAUAAUGUGAUAUUUCGAAUCGCAGUCGGUCAUAAAACAUGUCGAUGGAUCGCUCUGUAUUCUUUCGCGGUUAUUAUUGUUUAUAGGCAAAUUUCGCGCACAAACAAUUUUCAAAGUAAAGUACACAUUCAUCGUAAUUGUGUAAUCACUAUUAUAUCAGUCAAUUUGCAUCGCAAUUUUGAGAUCGACAAUUUGCGUCUGUGUGUUUGCGAAAUCACAUACGCGAUCGUAAUCUCCUUCGUGUGUGUUUCGUGCUGUUAUUUUCUCGUUGAAGCGGGAAGUUUGAAAAUUUAUGAUGGUACAAUUAUCUUCAGAUUUCUGAAAGACAUUAUCCCACUGAUAUCCCGAUAUUGACAUCGCAAUGCUCACAUCCCAAUAAUUUUACGUCAGGAUUCCAAGAUGGAAAGAGGCAUUUUUCGGUAAACCCACCACUACUACGGGCAGCAGAAUCCGCCGUCCAGA